AGAGUUUGAUCCUGGCUCAGGACGAACGCUGGCGGCGUGCCUAAUACAUGCAAGUAGAACGCUGAACAGAGGAUCUUGCUCUUCUUGGAUGAGUUGCGAACGGGUGAGUGACGCAUAGGUAACCUGCCUUGGAGCGGGGGAUAACUAUUGGAAACAAUAGCUAAUACCGCAUAACAAUGGAUGACACAUGUCAUUUAUUUGAAAGGGGCAAUUGCUCCACUACAAGAUGGACCUGCAUUGUAUUAGCUAGUAUGUGAGGUAACGGCUCACCUCGGCCACCAUACAUAACCAACCUGAGAGGAUGAUCGGCCACGCUGGGACUGAGACACGGUCCAAACUCCUACGGGAGGCAACAGUAGGGAAUCUUCGGCAAUGGGGGCAACCCUGACCCAGCAACGCCCCGUGAGUGAAGAAGGUUUUCGGAUCGUUCGCUCUGUUGUAAGUCAAGAAAAGUGUGAGAGUGGAAAGUUCACGCUGUGACGGUCCUUACCAGAAAGGGA
rnacentral:rRNA from 1 species